AUUGAACGCUGGCGGCAGGCCUAACACAUGCAAGUCGAACGAGUGGCGGACGGGUGAGUAAUGUCUGGGAAACUGCCUGUUGGAGGGGGAUAACUACUGGAAAGGGUAGCUAAUACCGCAUACCAUCAGAUGUGCCCAGAUGGGAUUAGCUAGUUGGUGGGGUAAAGGCUCACCAAGGCGACGAUCCCUAGCUGGUCUGAGAGGAUGACCAGCAACACUGGAACUGAGACACGGCCCAUAUUCCUACGUGGGGCAGCAGUGGGGAAUAUUGCACAAUGGGCGCAAGCCGGAUGCAGCCAUCCCGCGUGGAUGAAGAAGGCCUUCGGUUUGUAAAGUACUUUCGGCGGGGAGGCGUUACCCGAAGAAGAAGCACCGGCUAACUCCGUGCCAGCAGCCGCGGUAAUUC
rnacentral:rRNA from 1 species